rnacentral:rRNA from 1 species
AACGAACGCUGGCGGCGUGCCUAACACAUGCAAGUCGAACGAGAAAGGGGCUUCGGCUCCGAGUAAAGUGGCGCACGGGUGAGUAACACGUGGGUAACCUGCCUCUAAGAUUGGGAUAACUCGUCGAAAGAUGAGCUAAUACCGAAUAAGACCACAGUUCCUGCGGGAACAGGGGUCAAAGGUAGCCUCUGCUUGCAAGCUAUCACUUAGAGAUGGGCCUGCGCACCAUUAGCUAGUUGGUAGGGUAACGGCCUACCAAGGCAAAGAUGGUUAGCUGGUCUGAGAGGAUGAUCAGCCACACUGGAACUGAGACACGGUCCAGACUCCUACGGGAGGCAGCAGUGGGGAAUAUUGCGCAAUGGGCGAAAGCUUGACGCAGCAACGCCGCGUGAGUGAUGAAGGCCUUCGGGUCGUAAAGCUCUGUCGGGAGGAACGAAUGCUCCUGAGGUUAACAGCCUCCGGAGGUGACGGUACCUUCAAAGGUAGCACCGGCUAACUCUGUGC